UGAGGAAUAUUGGUCAAUGGACGGAAGUCUGAACCAGCCAAGUAGCGUGCAGGAUGACGGCCCUCCGGGUUGUAAACUGCUUUUAGUUGGGAAUAAAAAAGAGGACGUGUCCUCUAUUGUAUGUACCUUCAGAAAAAGGACCGGCUAAUUCCGUGCCAGCAGCCGCGGUAAUACGGAAGGUCCAGGCGUUAUCCGGAUUUAUUGGGUUUAAAGGGAGCGUAGGCGGAUUAUUAAGUCAGUGGUGAAAGACGGUGGCUCAACCAUCGUUAGCCAUUGAAACUGGUAGUCUUGAGUGCAGACAGGGAUGCUGGAACUCGUGGUGUAGCGGUGAAAUGCUUAGAUAUCACGAUGAACUCCGAUCGCGAAGGCAGGUGUCCGGGCUGCAACUGACGCUGAGGCUCGAAAGUGUGGGUAUCAAACAGGAUUAGAUACCCUGGUAGUCCACACAGUAAACGAUGUAUACUCGCGGUUUGCGAUACAAUGUAAGCCGCCAAGCGAAAGCAUUAAGUAUACCACCUGGGGAGUACGCCGGCAACGGUG
rnacentral:rRNA from 1 species